GAAGCGUUUUGAUAAGUUAGACAAAUGCUUGUGAAAUGUUGUCUGGAUGUUGGUAGUGCCCAGGCCUCAAUGAUUUUAGUUUGCAAAGCAAGUCUGCUUCCUCAAAAGCAUUUAUAAAAGCUUCUUGAAGACUUAAGUGGAACUGUCUGGUGUAGUCCUGGGAGUUUGACUGAUUUCCUUACUUCCCCCAUCCAGAAAAUGUCAUUUCUGUGGCAAAACUCUAAUGAGUAGAUUUAUCUUGGAUACAGAAAGACCUGAGCAACCUGUUUUCUACUGCCUUCAUCUCUUUUCUUCCCCAGGCAAGAAAUUUGAUCAGUUUUUUUCAUAGGUGGUUGACCAAAGGUGCUCCAGUCAGGGCAGGGAUCUGAAUUUGAAUCUCUCAAUGUCGUCUGCAGUUGCUCAAAUAGGAAAACACCUGGGCAAAAGGAAGAAAAGACUGAAAGAAAAAUGACAGCAUUCAAGAUUUCUUGCCACUGCUAGGCUGAAAAUUGGACAGCAGGGGUAAAUCUUCACUGGAUGCAAAACAAUGAAGAUGUAUGGAAGAAGAAUGGAAUAAUACAUCAUCUGAAUGCACGAUCUCCAUGAUUAUAUGACAAAAGGGAAAAAAAAAAUAAGGUAGGAUUGGUUAAGAAAUUUAAAACUGCAAUCCAUUUUCUACUUUUCCAGACAGCUGCAAACCAAAUACUUUUCCUGAGACUGAAGAUGAAACAAGAGGAACAGAUGUUGUUCCACUAUGGGCAAAUUAAUUGAAAAAUGUAAGCAGGGCCUUGUUCUUAAAGAAACAGGAUCUUGUCAGAAUUCCAACAUAGAAUCAUAGAAUAUCCUGAGUUGGAGGGGAUUCACACAGAUCAUAAGAUCUAGCUCCUGGCUACACGUAGGGCCACAGAAAAAUCAGACCUUAUGUCUGACAGCAUUGUCUGGAAGCUUCUUGAACUGCAGCAAG